rnacentral:rRNA from 1 species
AGCUCCAAUAGCGUAUAUUAAAGUUGUUGCAGUUAAAAAGCUCGUAGUUGGAUUUCUGGUAGGAGUGACCGUGCCGGACUUGAUUGUCCGUGUAUUGUGUUGUCUCCAGCCAUCCUCGUGGAGAACUUUUCUAACAUUAAUUUGUUGGGAUUGGGACCCACGUCGUUUACUGUGAAAAAAUUAGAGUGUUUAAAGCAGGCAAUCGCUUGAAUACAUUAGCAUGGAAUAAUAAGAUAGGACUUUGGUACUAUUUUGUUGGUUUGCAUACCAAAUUAAUGAUCAACAGGAACAGUUUGAGGAUAUUCGUAUGAACAUGUCAGAGGUGAAAUUCUUGGAUUUUGAUCAGACGAACUACUGCGAAAGCAUUUAUCAAGGAUGUUUUCAUUA